GUAAGCAUUCAAAACUUCACCAGCCUCGCACAUUUGCUCCACCUUUUUCUGGAGACUAACACUAUCAAAAACCCUGUCAGAACCCUGAGAAAGCCGGAAAAACAAAGAUGGGCUUCUCCCAAUCUCCAUCUCGUGCAGUAAAAGGUGUGCUUCCUCAAUUCUGCGAGCCUUGCAAAGGCCAUGCAUCAGAGCACUGAAGGUCACAACUGAAGGGAGACAUCCAAGUUUUUCCAUCUGAUUAAAUAUCUCCCGUGCCUCUCCAACCAUUCCAUUCCUACACAUGCCAUAGAUGAGAAUGGUGUAGGUGUAAGCAUUAUGAAAUUGUUCGUCCUUGGAAACCUCAAGCUGAAGAGAUCUAGCUUGGUCCAAACGACCUAUGUCACAAAAACCUUUGAUUAAUGCAUUGUAACAAUAGGCGUCUGUCAUCUAACAUCUUUGCAGCUUCACCAACCCUAUCCUCUUUGGACAAACCACGUAUCAUGAUAGCAUAUAAAGUAACAUCCGGCACAAUUCCCCUCUUAAACAUCUUGGUGUACCAUACAUAUGCCUCACUAUAUCUCUUGGCGUGAAUGAAGCUAUUUAUCAGAGAACAGUAACUUUGCAGAUUAAGAGCAAAAUCAUCUAUCCUCAACAAAGACAGCAAAGAAAGUGCUUCAUCUGUCCUUCCGUUCUUGCAAAACCCAUCAAUCAAGACAUUAUAACAGCGCAAAGUAGGCAAGCACCCAUUUUUUUUCAUAGUGUUAAACAACCUAAACGCCUCAUCAACCUUCUUCCACUGACAGAGGCCAUAAAUAAUAGCCGUAUACAUCUUAACAUCAGGCAGCACACCCUUCUUGCUCAUAUCAUCGAGCAUCUCGAGGACAGCGUUGAAGUUUUCAAUCUUACAGAAUCCACCAAUCUAGAGAGUGUACGUGUGGUCAUCUGGCAAAGAAUUAGACCUAAGCAUAACAUUAUAGAGCGAAAAAGCCAACACAAACAAGUCUUUCUUGAGCACAACCUUCAAGAUAGUGUUAUAGGCGUGAGCACUGGGCUCACAGUCGAACUUAGACAUUCUAUCAAAACACUUAAUGGCUUAUUCAACAAGACCCAUAUAGGAAUAGGUCCUUAUGAGGGCUCUAACAGAUUCAGAACUUAUGAAAAUCCCAGAUUUAUUCAGAAGCUGGAGCGCGUCCCAGUAAAGGGAGCACCACUCCUUAGUGGCGAGAGUGCAACUUACCUCGUUACGGGAAUGCUGAUCCACGAGGCUCUCGAACUUGAGCGCGACCCACACGCAAAAACGGAGAGGGAGUCCGCGGUUACGAUUAGGGAGAUCUCGCGUGACGACGACGGCGUCUGCGUCAGCGGAAGAGUGGUGCUGCAAUCGGCGAGGGAGGAACCUUGUGAGCAGUCCGGAAGCAUUGUGGAAAUGGACUCGUUUCCACAACAGCAUAGAGGGAUCGGGGUGAUGAUGGUGGCAGCGGGGUGCUAUCUUGUGGCGUUUGGGGAAGAGGGCAAUAGGUGAGACCUAAAAACAGAGUAAAGAGUAAUAAACUUAUAAGUUAUAACGAAUAUCAGAGAGGCUUUUUUAAAUCUCUUUUUGAGGGGGCCGAUAGAUGAAAAUGUCCAUAAGACUAAUUUAAUAUUACUAACCACUCAAAUAUAAAAAGAUUAUUCCUACCAAGUCAUUAUAAAAAAGAUUUUUUUUUUUUUGUGCCAAUGAAGAUAACUAGUUAUCUACAAGUGUACAACUAUCAUAAACUUCAUAAAAGAUAAUAAAUUUUAGAUAAUAGGUAAGAGAUUUUAAAUUCAAAUUUUAUUGCUAGUUUAUUCUAAGAAAAAUAAUUUUACAAUAAACUGCUAUUUUUAUAUAAUUUAAAUUAAAUAUUAAUUUUUAAUAAAUUAGACACAAAAAUUUAAAUACCAUAACCAUCACGAAAAAAAAGUUCACAAUAUUACUAUGUUCGGUGGAUAUGGCCUCGAAUUCCUUACUUUUGUGCCCCUCAUUUCAUAUAUUAUUAUAUUAUAUGCAUACAUAAACUAAUGAAUGAGCUAAUUAAUUCACCUCAUACCUUCAUGUAUUUUAUGUCCAUUUUAUAUAGUUAUACGGGCACACUCUUUGUUGAGAAAAAGGCACUCAUAAAUAGUUAAAUUAUCAUUAAUGAUUAUUUAGUGUUCUGUUAAUUUGUAAUUAUUAUACAAAUGGAAAUUUAAAAAUGGUCACUAAUUUUAAUUGCUACGUGAAUCUAAACCACACCCAAGAUUAAAAAAAAAAGUUUCAUGAUAGGUUGAUGUACAAAUGCAAUGAUAGAAUUAUGAAUUGAAUAAUAAAAUUGAAGAAAAUUACUCUUGGCUUUAUAUAGUCUUAUUUUCUUAGAUAAGGUUGAAAAAAAAUAUAUAAAAAUGAAGGUAUUAGCCGCAUAUUCUAAUUUCAAGGGGAUAUCCUUGAUGGAACAUUUUAGAUUGUUACAACAAUCACAAUCAUAUGUAAUGGUGAAUAUUAUCAUAAAUUAAGCAACUUAGGAAAAAAGAAGGAAGAAGUAACAAGAUGAAACCUUUACUACAAUUUAUUGAAACUUUUUUCAAUAUCAAAUUAUCAAUGUAAUGGCAUAGGAGUUACAUUAAUUAAUCCUAUGCAUUUUUAUCAACAUAAACAUAGAAGAUUCUCGAAACAACCUAUCUAGAUAUUACUAUUUUAUAUGAUAUAUGUAUGCAUAAGAUGUAAAUAACUUUUAAAUAUUCAUUUUAGCCAAAAUAGGAUCUAACCAUAGGUUUUUUGGAACAAGUAUAUAUGAAGUGCCUUUUGAAUAGUUAAUAUUAGUUAAAUUUUUUUAGAAGAAUUAAAAUUUAAGAUUUAAUGUUUAUNNNNNNNNNNNNNNNNNNNNNNNNNNNNNNNNNNNNNNNNNNNNNNNNNNNNNNNNNNNNNNNNNNNNNNNNNNNNNNNNNNNNNNNNNNNNNNNNNNNNNNNNNNNNNNNNNNNNNNNNNNNNNNNNNNNNNNNNNNNNNNNNNNNNNNNNNNNNNNNNNNNUUGUGGACAAAAGAGCUGAAUUCAUUGAUAUAUAUAUUAUUCUUUUAUUUUGGGGCUCUUUAUUUGUUUUAUGGUGUUAUAGGGCUCUUUAGUUUUUUACAGAGAUUUAAGGCUCUUCAUUUUAUUGUAAAUCAUACUCUAUAUUCAUAUUUUGGUAUGGGUUUUAUAUUUUCACAUCCAUUGGGCCUGGUAUAAGCCCCACCCAAUUGAUUUUUUUUUUUGCAAGUAAAAGUGAAACCGAUUGAUUUUAAUUAGUUUGUUAUGAAUUAUUAUUUGAAUUUGGUAUGUUCUUAUAGUUUUUUAAUCAAUCUAUGAGAAUUGCAGCUGACCCGCAAUAAUAAUAAGGCGAAUUCUUCGGUAUAGACAGGAAAACAAAUUUAUACAUGUUGAUUUGUGUUGUUUGAAUUUUAAAGUGACAAAUGUCUAUUGAAUAGGUAAAGUAAAUGGGACAAAUUCUGUGACUGUUUUGUACUUGCAUGAGUGGUUAUCAGGGAGGUGUUACUUUUUGAGAUUAAUAGAAAAGUUAUUAGACUAAUUAGAAAUAGUGCAAUUAGGAAGUAAUUGGGCCUAUUCACUUUAUAUUGUAUUAGGUAUUUUAUUGGGCCUAUAAAAAAAAGAAUAAUUUAAAACAACUUGAACAGACUUUUUAUAAGAUAAAAAUCAAAACACAAAUAUAAUGAUUAAUAAUAUCAAAUAAAAAAUAUUUAUCGAAAAAAAAAUAUCAAAUAAAAAUAAAUUAAUAUAGAAUAAUUAAUUAUCCUGAUAGAUUAUUGUUAUUUUAUAUGCAGUCAAUUGAAAAUAAAAAUUUAUAAAAAAUUUACUUAUAUCCCUAAUUAAGAAAAGAUGUUAAUAAUAUAAGUAUUUAUAAGUAAUUAUUUCCUGCCCUAACUAAUUCUUAUGCAAUGUUUUUUACAUAUUCUCUCAUUUAUAUAUAUAUUAUCAUAAAUUUCAAAUACAUACCGUAACAAAUUAUUAUUAAUAUAUUCGGUUAAGAUAUACAAUUUGUUAGAAUUUAUCAUUGUAGCAUAUCAUUUUUUACUUUUUUUUUCAAAUAAAUAUUAAUAAUAGAUCCUUAUUAUUCUUUCACGUUGUGAGUGAAGUUGCGAGUGAAUUAUAAUCUAUCAGGAUAAUUAAUUAUUUUAUAUUAAUUUAUUUUUGUUUAGUUUUUUAUUUGAUAUGAUUAAUCAUUAUAUAUGUGUUUUGAUUUUCAUCUUACAAAAGGCCUAAGAGAUAUUGUUUAAAUUGUUUUAAAUUAUUCUUCUUUUUAUAGGCCCAAUAAAAUACCCAACAUAAUAUAAAGUGAAUAAGCCCAACUACUUUCUAAUUGCACUAUUUCUAAUUAGUCUAAUAAGUUAUAACUUUUCUAUUAAUCUCAAAAAGUAACACCCCCUUUUUUCUGAUAACCACUCGUGCAACCAUGCAAGUACUCCUGCAACUGAAGCAGCUGCAGAAUUUGUCCCAUUUACUUUACCCAUUCAAUAAACACUUGUCACUUUAAAAUUCAAACAGCACAAUACUAUAUGUGUAGAUUUGUCCCCCUGUCUAUACCAGAGAAUUCGCCUAAUAAUAAUAAUAAUAAAAUUAUGAGAAUCAGAAUGCAAAGAGAGUAAACAUAUGCGGUGCAAUGGAGGAAGUAAAGAGAAUCACAAUUGCGAUCCACUUCUCUGCACAAAGGCAUGAAAAGUAACUGAACAUAACAACAAUGAAUAAUACACAGAAAAUGAGAGAGAACAAGCAUGAAGUGCUGACAUCUUCUUUAAUUAACAUCACAAGUUAUAUUCACCCCUUUAGUUGUAUUCUUGCACUAUAUGUGCUCAUUAUAUAUAUAUAUAUACAUCAAACAAAUUUACCGUCACUUAUUUUUUUUAGUUUUCAGUAUUUUUUAAUCUAAAAAUCCAAGAAUUAAUUUGUUGUAAUUCUGAGUUUCAUUUGAUAAUUAAUAGUUAUUAUUGACCAAUGAGUUGUUAUAUAUAAAGAUAGAAUUAAAACUUCUAACAUUUAACAAAUUUGAGUUGGUCAAGUGACUAGCUUACUUUUAGCAUUUAAAUGUAGUAAGUCCAAAUUGAAAUUUACAACAUAAGGGUAGCAGAGCAUGGAAUAUAGCAUGCCUGUUAAUUUCACAAAAAAAAUAACAGAAUAGCUCAAGAACGUGGACUUAAAAUCACAUGGCACACAUUCUAUGUAUAAGAAGCAUAACCCAACAUAUGGAAACAGAGAAGAGUGGAAGAUAGUUGAAGUCCAAUUCGAAGAAUGGUCAGCAAGAAAGACAUCAUGGUACCUUAUAAUGCUAUACCUGGAUUAAUUCAACAGGUAAUCAUGUUUAGUAAAAACUUGAUAUCAUGCACAAGGACAAACAAGAACAUCAACUUUUCAUAUUGAUUUUGCCAAUCACUGUGGACAAGUGAACAUGUGUUUAGUGAAGCUUUGCUGCAUAUCCAACUGCCACAUCUUAGCCUGAAGGUAGUUCCAGCAACUAAGUAACUAUAAACAUAUAGCUCCGACCAGGCUGAAAAAUUAUGAUAUUGACCUUUUAGAAAGAGUAAUGUUAUAUAGCAAGCCAUUCCACCCCAACCAAACUAAACACACCAUUAGAGUCAGCAUAGUGUACCUAUGAAAUAGUGGGGAAGAAAAAUUCACAUAUGAGCUUGAAGAAACUCUGUUUCCCAAUUUGGGGAAGUUCCAAACUGACCCUCAUAAGAUUUAAACUAGGAAUAAAUUAGCUUCUUAAAAAAAGAGAGAGAAAGAAACUAAGAAUAAAUUAGAAACUCAACUUAUUAUCUAAUCAAUCAUAAGAAUUCCUUUCGACAUUAUAACAACACGAAAGCUUUGUCCAUUAGCUGAGACUGGCUAGAUCAUAUGAACGGAAUAGUGCCCUAUCGCAAACUAUGCUAAUAGUCUAACCAUUUAAGUCUAAAUAAUUUUUUUAACGGUUCUUGCAUAGUAUUUCUUGGUCUCCUUUUACCUUUAGCUACUGAGCUACCCUAUAUGCACAUGAUCAAGCCACUCAUCACAAGAUAAAGAAUAAUAUCCAUCUUGAAUAGUCGGAGUUAUUCAAUCAUUUAAAAUAGUGCAUUUUAUUGCUCCUCCUUCUCCUUAGCCGUCGAAUAACGUACAUUGCUUUGUCAUACUGAUGUGAAUUCAAACAGUAUCCAUGGGACUGCAUCCUGUCAACAAGAUCAAUAGCAUAAUCCUUUUUAUCUAUCGAAAGAAGGAGACAUUUGAGGAGCUUGUUACAAAUUCUUGGCCUCAACAUGAAACUUUUUUCUAGGGUGUAGAGGAAUAUGUUUACUGCAUCAUCCAGCUUCCCUUCCUCACAGAGAAUAUCAAUCAAAUGUACACAACUUGUAGGAUUUAUAUUAAUAUUGAACUCACCAAGAACAGAAAAUAUAGCUAAUGCUUCAUCUACCUUUUUUGCCAUACAGAACCCAGUAAUUAGAAUUGUGUAUGGAGCUAAAUUAAAAUCUCUACAUUUGAAGUCCAUUUCCAGUAAGCCUCGAAUUACUUCUUUCACAUUUCCUCUGAUAAAAUGGUUCUCCAACAUGUUGAUUGAAUCAUUAUCCCACUUCAGAAGGCUUUUCAGAUAUUCAAAGUAAAUAUUGAAGGCCAUCGAGACCUUCCCCUUUUUGUUUAACCAGCUCAUAUGGGCAUUAGAAUUUGAUAAUCCAGGUUGACAACCAUGCUUCAACAUAUGUUCACGGAUCUUAAAGGCGUCAUCUUCUCUGUUAGCCCUAUAAAGUCCAUCAACAAGUGUCCCAUAAGUAAUAGAAUCAGGUGAGAUCCCCUUUAGUUGCAGCUCCUUGAAAAGCUUGAUAGCAGCGUUGAUAUUACCAGUUUUGCAAAAACCAUUGAUUAAAAUGUUGUAUGUGAUAAUGUUAGGCACAACCCCACUCCCAGCAAGUUGUUUGAGAAGCUUGUAAGCAUUCAAAACUUCACCAGCCUCGCACAUUUGCUCCACCUUUUUCUGGAGACUAACACUAUCAAGAACCCUGUCAGAACCCUGAGAAAGCCGGAAAAACAAAGAUGGGCUUCUCCCAAUCUCCAUCUCGUGCAGUAAAAGGUGUGCUUCCUCAAUUCUGCGAGCCUUGCAAAGGCCAUGCAUCAGAGCACUGAAGGUCACAACUGAAGGGAGACAUCCAAGUUUUUCCAUUUGAUUAAAUAUCUCCCGUGCCUCUCCAACCAUUCCAUUCCUACACAUGCCACAGAUGAGAAUGGUGUAGGUGUAAGCAUUAUGAAACUGUUCGUCCUUGGAAACCUCAAGCUGAAGAGAUCUAGCUUGGUCCAAACGACCUAUGUCACAAAAACCUUUGAUUAAUGCAUUGUAACAAUAGGCGUCUGGUACUAAACCCAUCCCAAUCAUCUCAUCUAACAUCUUUGCAGCUUCACCAACCCUACCCUCUUCGGACAAACCACGUAUCAUGAUAGCAUAUAAAGUAACAUCCGGCACAAUUCCCCUCUUAAACAUCUUGGUGUACCAUACAUAUGCCUCACUAUAUCUCUUGGCGUGAAUGAAGCUAUUUAUCAAAGAACGGUAACUCUGCAGAUUAAGAGCAAAACCAUCUAUCCUCAACAAAGACAGCAAAGAAAGCGCUUCAUCUGUCCUCCCGUUCUUGCAAAACCCAUCAAUCAAGACAUUAUAACAGCGCAAAGUAGGCAAGCACCCAUUUUCUUUCAUAGUGUUAAACAACCUAAACGCCUCAUCAACCUUCUUCCACUGACAGAGGCCAUAAAUAAUAGCCGUAUACGUCUUAACAUCAGGCAGCACACCCCUCUUGCUCAUAUCAUCGAGCAUCUCGAGGGCAGCAUUGAAGUUUCCAAUCUUACAGAAUCCACCAAUCAAGAGAGUGUACGUGUGGUCAUCUGGCAAAGAAUUAGACCUAAGCAUAACAUUAUAGAGCGAAAAAGCCAACACAAACAAGUCUUUCUUGAGCACAACCUUCAAGAUAGUGUUAUAGGCGUGAGCAUCAGGCUCACAAUCGAACUCAGACAUUCUAUCAAAACACUUAAUGGCUUCUUCAGCAAGACCCAUAUAGGAAUAGGUCCUUAUGAGGGCUCUAACAGAUUCAGAACUUAUGAAAAUCCCAGAUUUCUUCAGAAGCUGGAGCGCGUCCCAGUAAAUGGAGCACCACUCCUUAGUGGCGAGAGUGCAACUUACCUCGUUACGGGAAUGCUGAUCCACGAGGAUCUCGAACUUGAGCGCGACCCACACGCAGAAACGGAGGGGGAGUCGGCGGUUACAAUUAGGGAGAUCUCGCGUGACGACGACGGCGUCUGCGUCAGCGGAAGAGUGGUGAUGUGAUCGGCGAGGGAGGAACCUUGUGAGCAGUCCGGAAGCAUUGUGGAAAUGGACUCGUUUCCACAACAGCAUAGAGGGAUCGGGGUGAUGAUGGUGGCAGCGGGGCGCUAUCUUGUGGCGUUUGGGGAAGAGGGCAACAGGUGAGACCUAAAAAGAGAGUAAAGAGUAAUAAAUUUAUAAGUUAUAACGAAUAUCAGAGAGGCUUUUUUAAGUCUCUUUUUGGGGGGCCGAUAGAUGAAAAUGUCCAUAAGACUAAUUUAAUAUUACUAACCACUCAAACAUGAAAAGAUUAUUCCUACCAAGUCAUUAUAAAAAAGAUUUUUUUUCAACUACCAUAAACUUCAUAAAAGAUAAUAAAUUUUAGAUAGUAGGUAAGAGAUUUUAAAUUCAAAUUAUAUUGCUAGUUUAUUCUAAGAAAAAUAAUUUUACAAUAAACUGCUAUUUUUAUAUAAUUUAAAUUAAAUAUUAAUUUUUAAUAAAUUAGACACAAAAAUUUAAAUACCAUAACCAUCACGAAAAAAAAGUUCACAAUAUUACUAUGUUCGGUGGAUAUGGCCUCGGAUUCCUUACUUUUGUGCCCCUCAUUUCAUAUAUUAUUAUAUUAUAUGCAUACAUAAACUAAUGAAUGAGCUAAUUAAUUCGCCUCAUACCUUCAUGUAUUUUAUGUCCAUUUUAUAUGUGUUUUACGUGCUCGAUAAAGUUAUACGGGCACACUCUUUGUUGAGAAAAAGGCACUCAUAAAUAGUUAAAUUAUCAUUAAUAAUUAUUUAGUGUUCUGUUAAUUUGUAAUUAUUAUACAAAUGGAAAUUUAAAAAUGGUCACUAAUUUUAAUUACUACGUGAAUCUAAACCACACCCAAGAUUAAAAAAAAGUUUCAUGAUAGGUUGAUGUACAAAUGCAAUGAUAGAAUUAUGAAUUGAAUAAUAAAAUUGAAAUAGUGUACCUAUGAAAUAGUGGGGAAGAAAAACUCACAUAUGAGCUUGAAGAAACUCUGUUUCCCAAUUUGGGGAAGUUCCAAACUGACCCUCAUAAGAUUUAAACUAGGAAUAAAUUAGCUUCUUAAAAAAAGAGAGAGAAAGAAACUAAGAAUAAAUUAGAAACUCAACUUAUUAUCUAAUUAAUCAUAAGAAUUCCUUUCGACAUUAUAACAAUACGAAAGCUUUGUCCAUUAGGUGAGACUGGCUAGAUCAUAUGAACGGAAUAGUGCCAUAUCGCAAACUAUGCUAAUAGUCUAACCAUUUAAGUCUAAAUAAUUUUUUUAACGGUUCUUGCAUAGUAUUUCUUGGUCUCCUUUUACCUUUAGCUACUGAGCUACCCUGUAUGCACAUGAUCAAGCCACUCAUCACAAGAUUCUACCCUCUAUACAACAAUUUUGUCUCUAAGUUCAAAUCUGAGAUUCUACCAACCAUUUUGACACAAAGUUACAGAAACAUCUGAGACUAAAACAGGGGGAAGCUUGCAAGAAGGACCCUAAAUUAAGCAACAGAUACAAGGCAUAAAUAAAACCUCAUAACUGUGAACAGACAUAGUAUUCUCUCUCGGGCAUUCCAACAAACAGUUGGUGCACAAGACGAACAAUCACUUAAUAAUUUCUCAAAUUCAAUACAGAUAAAGUUGCAUUUUCACUAAAAGAUGAAUUCUCAUCAUUUAUGUUAUUUUGACCUGAGAUUGAGAUUGGACGUUGGAGAUGGAAGAGUAGAUGUUUCUUCGCUGCUCCAGAACCACCGCGCCGGUCAAUACCACUCCCAGUGUAGCUCCAAGUAGCCGCUCCUAUCCAUUCAUUCACACACCCCAAAAAACAAAAAGCGAUGAUUUUUUUUGUUUGAAACAACAAAACAUAAACAUAGAAAGAUAGAAUCAUGGAAUCGUAAGAGAGUUGAAUUUCAUGCUUGAAGAGGGAGUGUACCUGGGUAGUAUGCUAAUCAUCGUCUUCGCUUAUUGUUUUUCUCUGCAACAGAUUUGUCGGAGCAAUGUUUGUUCCCAAUUGCGGUCUUCCCCAACCAGAGCAAUCACCAUGCAAUUUCUCUCUUUUUGUUUCGAGAGAAGGCAUCAUCACAUCACUGCUACCCAACGACGUCGUAGUAGCUAUUACUUCUCGAUAUAUUCAUUGGGCCUCUUAACGAAGCCUUUUACUUUUUUCAAUUGCAAAUUUGCAAUAGAAGAAAAAUGAAUGAAUGCAAACUAAUCAAAUAGCAUUCAUUCAUACAACGCAGCAGAGGCCUCAUACAACGCUGCAUUUGGGUUCUAUUGUUGGUUUAAGAAUCCAUAAUAUUCAUGAUAGUAUGUGUGAGUGUGUUGUGUAUGUGUGUGAAAUAUGGGUGUAAUGUCUAGGAUUGAGGAUUGUUCUAGGAUAUUAUGCAAAGUUACAAUUUUCACAUGUAGAGUUUCUUUCACAUUGGGAGGAGUUUAAGAAUAGUCUUAAAGGGACUGUCCCUCUAUUUAAACAGUUCAUUGUUUUGUUUGUUUUAUUUUUCUUUGUUUAGUUUAUUUCAGUCACAAAAAAAAAAUAGCAUCCAAAUUAAUGUAGGGGAAGUGAGUGUUCCUAUUGAGGUAAAUCCGCAUUAACUAAAGGCCUAAAGUCAAAAGGCUUCUAAUCCCAUAUUUUGGUCAAAGCCCAACUUAACUGUUAACUCAGCUGACAGUUUGAAUAUGUGUCUUCACUCUCAACUUCACUUCACUCACUUCUGGGACCCACUUGGUGAGUCUUUGCCGCUUUGACAUAAUGCAAAUAUGCUCAUCUAAAGUUUGCUCUAAUAUUGUUCCAUGCACAAAAUCACCCUACACAAAUUUCCCUUUUCAUCGAUCCUGGGUCAUUUUCAUAUACAUUUAACUAUCUAAGUCUUCAAUAACUUCGAUAAAACACAAUUUUUGCUCUUCAACUUGUUGCAUGUCACACUCUAUUUCAUUGCACAUAAUUACGUCCACCGCAUAUUCAUCUGUGUCGUCAAACUCAUAAUCUUCUUCGCCAUCAUUAUCGCCUUCAAAAGAUACAUUAUCCCAGAAUAAAACCUUAUCUUCUUCAUGGCUGAGAUCCUCACCACUUCUAGUUUUAUCCAUAUACAAUCCACAAAGUGAAAAACCUGAUAUCAACUAAGGAACAUAUCAUCAGAACCUGAAAUUGACAGUUGAGACAAAAAUUCUAGCACAAACAAGUGCAUUAUUAUCAGAUUAUUCCAAUUAAGUACUUGUACUAGGAAGUAACUAUGACAAUGCAACCUCACAUACAGGUCCAGAUUUUCAAUAGAAAAUGGCAACAAUUUUGAUGUGAAAAAACAUAGAUGAGACGGAAGCAAAUCUGGGGCAUGAGGGCAUAUACUCAAUGGUGGAUUUCAUUCUUUUCUUUUUUUUCCUUAAAAAAUAUUUUUAAAAUGAAAACAACCGAAAAAUUUUAGGAAUACUGUAAUAUAAAGUUUAGCUUGAAGUAUCAGUACAUUUUCAAAUCAGAAGUUCAAGUAAUUACAAGGGCAAAUUAGAAAACAAUUCCAGAGAGAUUCACUGGUAUAGCAAGUUGAUCCUUAUGUUCUUAUACACUUUAACAAAGCUAGAUAUGAUUACAUAGUCAAUAACAGUGCAAGUGGUAGCAGUGAUUGCAACACAUACACAAUGAUAAAACUCACAAACUACAUAACACACUAUUAAUGGAGUAUAUUAGAGAUUGUAGAGACUGACUAUAUAAACCAAUUGUGAGAUUAACAUUCAAUUUCGGCUUAACUAUACACGCCAAGAGAGGGAAGUGAAUGCAACAUCCUGGAUAACAGGGUUUUGUCCCAAGAAGUUGUGUCUCAGAUCAAUUUUCAAGUUUGUUCCGCUAUUUAAGAUCUCACCGCUGGUUGUCGCCUGGGGUGUAAUUGUAAAUAUAUCAUAGUGAGUUGGGACCUUUUUGUAAAUAAAUUGGGCAACUCCAUCUAAUGGAGCUCUCUUGGAGAGUUCAAUCAAAUACUUUGCCUAUAAACAUAUAAUUAGAAGCAAAUUCUUUGGUAAGAUUAGGCAGAAGAGCAUAGCAUCUUUUGUACCCAAAUUCCAAAACCUAGCAAUCUGGAACAUCUAUAGUCUCCUGAGCAAAACUUAAAGUAGGAAGGAGGAGAAACAAUUAAAUGACUGAAAAGACAUUGAACAAAGCAGGGCAAGCGGUGAUGGGAAGUCACUUGUAGUAACUCUCAAUCACUAGCAUGUUCAUACAAUCUAAUUUUCACUCUCAGGUAUUCUAAAUUUGAAGAAAAUCCUAUUAGUUUAUGGUACACACUCUUAAACAUCACAUCAGAUUAUGGGAAAGUGAACCACAAAGAUAUUAAAAAAAGUGAAGAAAAUGAAGUACAGGUGGAAUCCUCCAUUUGAGAUACAAAGACGAGCCUGAGAAAGUCUCAAGUGCCUCAAAUGAACCUCCAAAACAUUCAGUCUUCUCUCAAACACUUUUCCUCAGCUUCCUUAGUCUUCUGGGAAGAAGUUAGGUUAGGUUAGGUUAGGCAUGCACCAAUGUUGACUUUAUACCUACUAAGGGGCAUUUUACUAAUCAUUAAACUUGAGAACAGAUUUUUCUGUUUAUGCAUUGUUGUUCUAGAGUGUGUUUAUGCUGUACUUGAGCACAUUGUCAAAAUUUUACCAUGCUCGAGCACACUCACAACGUAGCUAGGCUCGGGCCUAAUGCUCAAGCCAGAUAUUGCAGCGAAUCAUUCCUAUCCCUUGUACCUGCAAAACACAGUAAAAGAAACGCAUAAAAUGCUUCAAAACUCAGCUAAAAGCUAAGUAGAAGAAAUAAGAAUUGAAUUAAACCAUGGAAUUAGAAAAUUAAAAAUAAAAUUUGCUAAUAGAAAGCCUAAAACAGACCAACUUAAAUUCAAAAAAUACAACCACAUUUGCUCCACCUUUUUCUGGAGACUAACAUUAUCAAAAACCCUGUCAGAACCCUGAGAAAGCCGGAAAAACAAAGAUGGGCUUCUCCCAAUCUCCAUCUCGUGCAGUAAAAGGCGUGCUUCCUCAAUUCUGUGAGCCUUGCAAAGGCCAUGCAUCAGAGCACUGAAGGUCACAACUGAAGGGAGACAUCCAAGUUUUUCCAUCUGAUUAAAUAUCUUCCGUGCCUCUCCAACCAUUCCAUUCCUACACAUGCAACAGAUGAGAAUGGUGUAGGUGUAAGCAUUAUGAAACUGUUCGUCCUUGGAAACCUCAAGCUGAAGAGAUCUAGCUUGGUCCAAACGACCUAUGUCACAAAAACCUUUGAUUAAUGCAUUGUAACAAUAGGCGUCUGGUACUAAACCCAUCCCAAUCAUCUCAUCUA
rnacentral:lncRNA from 1 species